rnacentral:lncRNA from 1 species
GAGCACUGAAUAGGAAGAAAAGUCUCAUAAGGGAGACGAAGAGUGGGGAUCAUGGGUUCAGAGGUCCUGAUACCAACAAUGCCAGUCUCAGGAAAGGGCUGGAGCGGAAAGAGAGCCAAGUGAGAAGAAAUGGCAUUCCUGUUUGCCAUGAAAUAACCAAAGUAGAGAGAGACUUGAAUCAUUAAGUGAUGGGUGCACUGGGGGACCAUAAAGUGGUAGAAGAAGGACGCCCACAAGUAGAUCAGUGAAUUCAACUACCCCAGCAGGGUUUCCUCAGCCAGCCUGUUCUAACUUAGAAAGGCACUACUGGGUUGCCCUGUGAUGAGCCCACCAGUCACAAAUGACAACCGUGUUCGUGUCACUAUUGGCAGAAGCAGGCUAUAAAAACCCUCCGGUUCCCACAAGGCUAAUCGAUGAAAACGUAUGGUUCUCACUACGCAGAUCCUAUCACACCUUGUGUUCCAGACACUGUUUCAAACGGGCUGUGAAGCCAUAUCAGGAUUCCCAACAGAGACAACUUAAAGAAGAAAGAAUGCAUAGUGGCUCAUGGUUCCCAGGGAGAGCUGUCCAUCAAAAAGGGGGAAGGCGUGGCCGAGUCUGUGACCUGAGAGCAUGGAGCAGAGGCUGCUCCUAUGUAAGAAGCAGGGAGCUCAGUCAGGAGCCAGAAUCUCUGCCCCAGUAACCCACUCCUGCUGGUGAAGCCACAGCCUCCAAACCGGCGCCACCAGCAGGGGCUAGGUGUUCAUACACAUGCAGCUGUGGUGAGAGUGAGGGUUAGAGAGGGGGACACCUGGCUGGCUAGCCAGAGAGAGACACAGAGACAGAACAAAGACCUACAGCUCCUGACCCUGCCUCCUUCCUACCCAGGGUCAAUUAGGCCUAGAAUUUCCUGUAGGCCUUGUCCUCAGCUGGAGGCAAUAAAUCAUGCUAUGGGUUUCUGUUGCAUAGUGGUUGUCAGUCUGACAUCUCCCACACAAUGUGCUCAUACCCACGCAGGUACAAGGCCCUAUGUCUAUCUGCACGGGAAUCCUGGGGGCACUUAGCUCUCAAGUGCAAGUGUACGUUUCGAUUAAAGUCCCUUUUCUCUGU